rnacentral:lncRNA from 1 species
GCUGUUCUCUCAAGGUGAUCCAUUUUCCUUUUUGAUUGUAUUGUGCCAUUCGCUGUACAGUAACAAGAAGCAGAGUGCCUCAACGCCACCAGUGCAGAAUGAGCAGGACAAAGUCUGCAGGCACUUCUCAGUAAGUGAGGAAUAGUAAAGCCCAUGUAUGUGGUAACACGAGCCAUGAUAACCAGGCUGUCUUUAGAAUCACCAGCUCCCUGAGAGCCACAGGCCCCGGGUUAAUGCACCAUGACAUCUACCGCUGCGGCCUCUUCUUUCCUCA